rnacentral:rRNA from 1 species
CCUACGGGUGGCAGCAGUGGGGGAUAUUGCACAAUGGGGGAAACCCUGAUGCAGCGACGCCGCGUGAGUGAAGAAGUAUUUCGGUACGUAAAGCUCUAUCAGCAGGGAAGAAAGUGACAGUGCCAGACCAAGAAGCAGCGGCUAACUACGUGCCAGCAGCCGCGGUAAUACGUAGGGGGCAGGAGUUAUCCGGAGUGACUGGUCGUAAAGGAUGAGUAGGAGGCUUGGUAAGCAAGUAGCGAAAGCCCCAGGCUCAACCUUGGGACUACUACUAAAACUAUUGAACUUGAGUGCAGGAGGGGAAAGCGGAAUUCCUAGUGUAGCGGUGGAAUGCGUAGAUAUUAGGAGGAACACCAGUGGCGAAGGCGGGUUUCUAGACUGUAACUGACACUGAGGCACGAAAGCGUGGGGAGCAAACAGGAUUAGAUACCCCUGUAGUC